rnacentral:rRNA from 1 species
GACGAACGCUGGCGGCGUGCUUAACACAUGCAUGUCGAACGGAAAGGCCCUGCUUUUGUGGGGUGCUCGAGUGGCGAACGGGUGAGUAACACGUGAGUAACCUGCCCUUGACUUUGGGAUAACUUCAGGAAACUGGGGCUAAUACCGGAUAGGAGCUCCUGCUGCAUGGUGGGGGUUGGAAAGUUUCGGCGGUUGGGGAUGGACUCGCGGCUUAUCAGCUUGUUGGUGGGGUAGUGGCUUACCAAGGCUUUGACGGGUAGCCGGCCUGAGAGGGUGACCGGCCACAUUGGGACUGAGAUACGGCCCAGACUCCUACGGGAGGCAGCAGUGGGGAAUAUUGCACAAUGGGCGGAAGCCUGAUGCAGCAACGCCGCGUGCGGGAUGACGGCCUUCGGGUUGUAAACCGCUUUCGCCUGUGACGAAGCGUGAGUGACGGUAAUGGGUAAAGAAGCACCGGCUAACUACGUGCCAGCAGCCGCGGUGAUACGUAGGGUGCGAGCGUUGUCCGGAUUUAUUGGGCGUAAAGGGCUCGUAGGUGGUUGAUCGCGUCGGAAGUGUAAUCUUGGGGCUUAACCCUGAGCGUGCUUUCGAUACGGGUUGACUUGAGGAAGGUAGGGGAGAAUGGAAUUCCUGGUGGAGCGGUGGAAUGCGCAGAUAUCAGGAGGAACACCAGUGGCGAAGGCGGUUCUCUGGGCCUUUCCUGACGCUGAGGAGCGAAAGCGUGGGGAGCGAACAGGCUUAGAUACCCUGGUAGUCCACGCUGUAAACGGUGGGUACUAGGUGUGGGGUCCAUUCCACGGGUUCCGUGCCGUAGCUAACGCUUUAAGUACCCCGCCUGGGGAGUACGGCCGCAAGGCUAAAACUCAAAGGAAUUGACGGGGCCCCGCACAAGCGGCGGAGCAUGCGGAUUAAUUCGAUGCAACGCGUAGAACCUUACCUGGGUUUGACAUGGAUCGGGAGUGCUCAGAGAUGGGUGUGCCUCUUUUGGGGUCGGUUCACAGGUGGUGCAUGCCUGUCGUCAGCUCGUGUCGUGAGAUGUUGGGUUAAGUCCCGCAACGAGCGCAACCCUUGUUCACUGUUGCCAGCACGUUAUGGUGGGGACUCAGUGGAGACCGCCGGGGUCAACUCGGAGGAAGGUGGGGAUGACGUCAAGUCCUCAUGCCCCUUAUGUCCAGGGCUUCACGCAUGCUACAAUGGCUGGUACAGAGAGUGGCGAGCCUGUGAGGGUGAGCGAAUCUCGGAAAGCCGGUCUCAGCUCGGAUUGGGGUCUGCAACUCGACCUCAUGAAGUCGGAGUCGCUAGUAAUCGCAGAUCAGCAACGCUGCGGUGAAUAAAUUCCCGGG